UACGAAGGGUGCAAGCGUUACUCGGAAUUACUGGGCGUAAAGCGUGCGUAGGUGGUUUGUUAAGUCUGUUGUGAAAGCCCCGGGCUCAACCUGGGAAUGGCAAUGGAUACUGGCAAGCUAGAGUGCGGUAGAGGGUAGUGGAAUUCCCGGUGUAGCGGUGAAAUGCGUAGAGAUCAGCAGGAACACCCGUGGCGAAGGCGGCCCCCUGGGCCGUACCUGACGCUGAGGCGCGAAGGCUAGGGGAGCGAACGGG
rnacentral:rRNA from 1 species